rnacentral:rRNA from 1 species
GGCUCAGGAUGAACGCUAGCGGCAGGCUUAAUACAUGCAAGUCGAGGGGCAGCACAGGUAGCAAUACUGGGUGGCGACCGGCAAACGGGUGCGGAACACGUACGCAACCUUCCCAAAACAGGUGAAUAGCCCUCCGAAAGGAGGAUUAAUACACCGUACCAUAAUUUAGUGGCAUCACUUUAUUAUUAUAGGUCGCAAGAUCGGUUUUGGAUGGGCGUGCGCCUGAUUAGGUAGUUGGCGGGGUAACGGCCCACCAAGCCUCCGAUCAGUAACUGGUGUGAGAGCACGACCAGUCACACGGGCACUGAGACACGGGCCCGACUCCUACGGGAGGCAGCAGUAAGGAAUAUUGGUCAAUGGACGCAAGUCUGAACCAGCCAUGCCGCGUGCAGGAUGAAGGCCCUCUGGGUUGUAAACUGCUUUUAUCUGGGACGAAAAAAGGGGAUUCUUCCUCACUUGACGGUACCAGAGGAAUAAGCACCGGCUAACUCCGUGCCAGCAGCCGCGGUAAUACGGAGGGUGCAAGCGUUAUCCGGAUUUACUGGGUUUAAAGGGUGCGUAGGUGGGCAGGUAAGUCAGUGGUGAAAUCUUCAAGCUUAACUUGGAAACUGCCAUUGAUACUAUUUGUCUUGAAUAUCCUGGAGGUAAGCGGAAUAUGUCAUGUAGCGGUGAAAUGCUUAGAUAUGACAUAGAACACCCAUUGCGAAGGCAGCUUACUACGGGAUUAUUGACACUGAGGCACGAAAGCGUGGGGAUCAAACAGGAUUAGAUACCCUGGUAGUCCACGCCCUAAACAAUGGAUACUCGACAUCAGCGAUACACUGUUGGUGUCUGAGCGAAAGCAUUAAGUAUCCCACCUGGGAAGUACGACGGCAGGGUUGAAACUCAAAG